rnacentral:misc_RNA from 1 species
CCUUGCCUGAACCAACAUAGAAAUAAUUUUUUUUAUGCGUAGCUUAACAGAUCAUAAAUGAGGUUUAUAGAGAAGAUAAUAUUAGAAUUUACAUGGCACUUCAAUUAGCAUGACAUGUUUUCUAUAUGCUUCAAUACUUCAGUGACGACAUUUUUCACACACACAAAUGCACAGGGAGAGAGCCAAAAAACAACAAUUAGAUAAGUUAUCAAAAAACUCUGAUUCAACCAACUGGAGAUACCCUUGUUUUGAGCAACCAAACAACAAAACAAAUAACAAGUGCAUAUUAAUUUGCAUGGCAAGUAUUUCAAUAUCUCUAGCUUUUUCUCCCUAAACUCCAGAAGUAUUUAAAUUUUACCACAUGAAAACAUCUGAGCAUCUUAUUAAGGAAAGGAAUAAAAUAGAAAUUCUUGGAGUAAAAAGGAACGAACCAAGUAUCCUCUAAACGCCGUUUGAAUUUUGAUAGCAGCUAUUUCCUCCCUUGAA